rnacentral:lncRNA from 1 species
GAAGAAUUUGCAGCCGCCAAAUUGGAUAUAUAUAUAUACAUACAUAUAUAUUCACAGAAAACCAAAGCAGAAGAGGGCUGCCUGUGUUGAGAUUUAUUAUAUAUAUACACAAGACUAGAGCGGGAGAAGUUAAACAUAGUUGCUGGAAUUAAUUAGAUAUAUGCAUGCAGGAAUGCGAAGCAGAGAGGAUUGAACUUGGAAAAAUCAUUCUAUACUUUGAUCUAUUCAUUCAAUCCCACAUUCUCUUGGCGAACUUACAUAAAAACAUCAAAUCCACUUUCAUCAAACACCAUAACCUAUCCUUUCAGAGCAUUUAUUGAGACUUGAUGAUCAGGGAAGGAGAUUAAAGUUCCGAUCAUUGGAGAACGGGGAGUUCUCAGAAAUCCACAGGAGAUAGACGAAACAAGAUCAGGGAAUUGGUGUAGGAGCACACAAUCAUGGAAGACUUGGAAUUGGAAGUUGGUGCAUGAUCACGCUUUCCAAGAGGGCAUUGGAAAAUUGCAAUUGGGAGGUAAGAAAAAUUAGUGUCGAUUGAGUCUGACUGAUUGUAAGUGAUACUUUCGUUUAUAGUGGAUUCGUACUGGCGUGUGCCCAGUGUUUUACCCACGUUGGGGGUUUUCCAUCAUCAAAUAAUUGUUUUCCUUAUAUUUCUGCAAUUUUCUUGUUUCCGAAAUUUAAACAUAGAUAGUAAAGCAUGUGAAUUGAUUUGGACAUAUUAAUAAUUGUGAC